UGGGGAAUAUUGCACAAUGGGCGCAAGCCUGAUGCAGCCAUGCCGCGUGUGUGAAGUAGGCCUUCGGGUUGUAAAGCACUUUCAGCGGGGAGGAAGGCGAUAAGGUUAAUAACCUUGUCGAUUGACGUUACCCGCAGAAGAAGCACCGGCUAACUCCGUGCCAGCAGCCGCGGUAAUACGGAGGGUGCAAGCGUUAAUCGGAAUUACUGGGCGUAAAGCGCACGCAGGCGGUCUGUCAAGUCGGAUGUGAAAUCCCCGGGCUCAACCUGGGAACUGCAUUCGAAACUGGCAGGCUAGAGUCUUGUAGAGGGGGGUAGAAUUCCAGGUGUAGCGGUGAAAUGCGUAGAGAUCUGGAGGAAUACCGGUGGCGAAGGCGGCCCCCCGGACAAAGACUGACGCUCAGGUGCGAAAGCGUGGGGAGCAAACAGG
rnacentral:rRNA from 1 species